CUGUCUCCAGCUCCAACAGUGUUUGGAUGGAACAG
rfam:Myotis lucifugus cont2.20675, whole genome shotgun sequence.